ACGGCUCAGUAACACGUGGACAACCUGCCCUUAGGUUGGGUAUAAACCCGGGAAACUGGGUAUAAUACCCGAUAGGUCUCGAUUGCUGGAAUGCAUCGAGAUUUAAAGCUCCGGCGCCUAAGGAUGGGUCUGCGGCCUAUCAGGUAGUAGUGGGUGUAGCGUACCUACUAGCCUACGACGGGUACGGGUUGUGAGAGCAAGAGCCCGGAGAUGGAUUCUGAGACACGAAUCCAGGCCCUACGGGGUGCAGCAGGCGCGAAAACUUUACAAUGCUGGCAACAGCGAUAAGGGAACCUCGAGUGCCAGGUUACAAAUCUGGCUGUCGAGAUGCCUAAAAAGCAUUUCAUAGCAAGGGCCGGGCAAGACCGGUGCCAGCCGCCGCGGUAACACCGGCGGCUCGAGUGGUAACCGUUAUUAUUGGGUCUAAAGGGUCUGUAGCCGGCCGGAUAAGUCUCUUGAGAAAUCUGGCAGCUUAACUGUCAGGCUUUCAGGAGAUACUGUCUGGCUCGAGGCCGGGAGAGGUGAGAGGUACUUCAGGGGUAGGGGUGAAAUCUUGUAAUCCUUGAAGGACCACCAGUGGCGAAGGCGUCUCACCAGAACGGACCUGACGGCAAGGGACGAAAGCUAGGGGCACGAACCGGAUUAGAUACCCGGGUAGUCCUAGCCGUAAACGAUACUCGCUAGGUGUCGGCCACGAUGCGACCGUUGUCGGUGCCGUAGGGAAGCCGUGAAGCGAGCCACCUGGGAAGUACGGCCGCAAGGCUGAAACUUAAAGGAAUUGGCGGGGGAGCAC
rnacentral:rRNA from 1 species